GGCUUCCAACCUGGUGGUCGCUUCCAUGUGGGGCCACCAAAACGCCGUCACCACCCGCCCCGACGCCCCACCCUCCCCCAAAUCGGCUGCAAUUCCCGUUCAAAAUCCGGCGUCCCACCCGUUCCUCAACCCCGACGCCCCCUUUCGCCGCCGAUCCCCCGUCGCGCCGCUCGCCGUUCCCGCAUUCCACCGCCGAAUCCCAUCUCCCACACCCAGACGCCCCUUCCGCCGCCGGUUCCUGUUGCGCCGCUCGCCAUCCAUCGCCGCCAGGGCCUGGUUGUCACGUGGUUCCCCGCGGGCGCCGCGGGGUACCUAGGUGCCGUGCGCCCCCCCUGGCGCCGCCGCCGGUGGCUGGUUGUCGCGCGGCCCCCCACGCGCCGCCGCCCGGAGCUGGUUGUCGCACGGUCGCCCGCGGCCUCCGGGGGUGAGGUGGCCACCGCUGCCGGGAAGGCUUUCGACCUCGACGGGCACCAUUCACCGCCCCCGCGCGCCCUCCCCCGCUUGUUCGGUGGCACUGCUAGCCGACCGCCGCCGGGGACUGGCUUGCACGCACCUCCUGGGGAAGGCUGCCCGAGCUUUUUGCCGUUUGCUUGCAGUUCGUCGUUGGAGACGCGUAGCAAGCAAGGAAUCGAGUCCCCUAGUGACUUCCUAGCGACACCGGCUGAAAUUUGGCUGACUCUCGAUCCAGCUUAGAUGAGGACUGAAGGUGUGCUUCCAAAUAAGAUAAUCAAAAUCAGAUUUGUUGGGCAGUCUACACAAGAUCAACUUGAAAUUCAUUUGGAAGAUUCUGUAUCGGUGCUCGUGCCACUAUGCGCACCACGAACCACGAUAGGUGAUACGGCAGCAGGUUCAGAUGUUCUGCGUUCAUCUCCUCGUCUUCAAGCUAUGCGCAAUGCCGCAGUUUCCAAUCGCAAUGGCCCUUUGGUGAAGAAACUUGCUACGAAGAAGAGGAAGAUACCUUGGGGGGAGGGAUUUGAGGCUCCCUGUUGAUGAUGACAGUGAUGAUUUUAUGGAGAUUCCAUCACAAAGAAGGCACCGUUCAGUUGCAGGUGAUGGCCCCAGUCAUUAUAGACAGCAACAUGCUGCUGCAGAUUAUGUUCAGGACCAGCCCAAUGAAGUUGUUGCAGCUCAAGUGGUUAAAGGUUGUCCAACGAUUCGCUGUUCACCCAAAAAAUGUAGAGAAUUUGUUGACACUCUUAGUAGUGAACUGAAGCACAUGAUUGAUCUUAUGGGUUUGGUGGUUUGCUUUCUUUUAAGCCAAAAUCUUUUGACAGGGAUCUACUCAUGUGGUUAAUGGAGAAGCUUAACCAGAGAUAAUGAGAUUGGAAAUUGCUGGUGGCAAGGAAAUAGAAGUAAACGAGCAUGCUGUGGAGUGUGUCCUUGGUUUGCCAAGCAAGGGAGGUGAUCCUCCUAUAGUGAAGGACAAGGAAGGACACAUUGCUCGCGAGCUAGUGGCAAGAGCCGUAUUUGGUAUUGAUAGCGUAAAGGUUGCAGCUAAAGAUUGAAAAAACAUGGUUACUUCCAGGGAGUGUGAUGAUAAUUUUGCCAUCAGGGCCUUCUUCAUUGUUGCUUUUAAUCUGCUGUUAUUUAUAAAUACUGACUCAUAUAUCAGAGUUGUGGAUGCCAAGUGGACCGAGAAUUUGGAUGUCAUUGAUGAGAUAAACUGGUGUAAGGCUUUAAUCGACAACUUGAGGUUUUCUGCACGUCUGUGGAGGAAUGAAAGGGACAAGAAAGAGCAUGCCAACAUUAAAAAGAUUGCUAUCAAUGGUUGUGGCAUAUUCUUGAAUAAUAUUGUCAGCAACUAUCCGGUACGUCCGCUGGGACGGAUGAACUGAAUCGAAGAACACAUACUUCUCCGCGUCUUGACACGUCAACGGUUCAUCCACACCGCAAAGGACUGAUGUCUCGAUGAGUCCUGUGCCACAGCAUCCUUGCACCACGUUCUCGAAUCCUGGUCAUCACAGACAAAACCGGUCAGUAUGAAAUUCUGGCAGACUCUCUGCUCCAGUCAUCGAUCCUAUGUGGAGACAGAUGCUUG